rnacentral:lncRNA from 1 species
UUUUAAGGUUACAUCAAUCAUAAAAGAACAUUUAAAAAUUGCACAACAACAUCUACUGCGGGUAAAAUCUUUGGUUUGGGCAAACAGCGUUGCGAGAGCACGUCUCCUUUCACACUUGCCACUACUUGGUGGAUCUAAACGAGCUCCGGAUGACUGAUUAAGUGCACACAUUCUCUCUCUGCCUCAUCACAUAUCAUGGGUACAGAAAGGGGAUGCCGGUGGGCAAAACCAUUUUACACACAAAGACAAGAUGGGAGAGUACAGAGGCUGGGGGACAACCUUGCCACCAACACUAACAGCUGCUUAAACUCACCAGAGGGGCUAGUGGCAAUCCCACUUCUGAAAGAACACCACCAGGCUUCCGCUCACAGGGCCCGGAGGAGCCUUUCAAAGGGAGGUCAAAGGUGCUCCUCACAUAAAGUGCGGUACAAGGAGAUCAGUGGAGCUGGAUCUUCUUGAUGCCGGAAAAAGAAAAAACGUAUGUUUUCUUCCACGCUGUAAAGCCGCAAAUAUAACGUCUUCUUCCCCAUUUUUUGUUUUAAAGCCUUUCUAGUGUUUCACGUUAUUCCGAGCUGCGGCGCGGCGAACCCUCCUGUUCCUGCGGGGCGAGAUUGUUCCUGUCACGGGUGCUUUGUCUUACACAGACUGCAGCUCUCCCACAAACAGAGGCCGUAUCAAAGUGAAAGCAGAUAGAGUCACAUCAGUGGAUUAAGGCCUUCUGCAUGAUAAAGUAGCUACCUAGGGUGGAAUUAACUUAAUAUGUGAAAGAAUGUUAUUGAGAGGGAAUAGAGUACCAAAACUCUCUCAUUCUCUUCGUAAUGUCCUAAUCCAGAGCCUGACACUGGGGCCUUAGGAUGGUGUUAAUGAUAAUCAAUGAAAUACCCAUCUGUAUUCCUUGUCCUUAGAGCUAUUUAAACUUCGCCUAAACUCAAUUAUUGUCCCUGAGAGACCAAGAUGGCAUAUUAAGACACGUGAAAGGGGAUUCAGUCCCAGAAAAGAAAAGCCCAGUGCUGAAGUGCAGAGGUGUCAACAUUGCUAACUAAAUUUCAGCUAAACAGAUUAAAUGCCCAAUCCAUGGACCUGAAAACAACACCAGAAUGAACUUAGAGAGGAGGAAUCUCAUUUUCAAAGCAUCCCUUAAACUGUUAAGCAGUCUAAUCAUCGCGGAUCUGAGAGUCUGUGCCCCAGCAUAUAUUUCUCUCUUUACGCCCAACACAAUGAGACUCUGAAGGCCUUAGAUGUACAUCCCUCAGAACAAAAACUGCGAAGACUGUGAACUUUCAAGCGGUUCAUGAAUCUGCAAGUAUGAUGUCCAAAAGGUGAUUGAACUAUAUUAACGUUGGCCAUUUUUCUUUCUUCUAUGUUUUAUAGUGUUUAUUUUUUCCAGUAAAUUUCCAGUUCACUCAAAUUGGUUUCACCUUUUAUUUACAAG